rnacentral:rRNA from 1 species
CAAUAGCGUAUAUUAACGUUGUUGCAGUUAAAAAGCUCGUAGUUGGAUUUCUGGAGGGAGCGUCGGCCCGUAUUUACGAGUGCGUGACGUCUCUGUCCAUCCUUGCGGGAAGGCACGGCAUUGAUUUGUUGUGUCGGAUCGCAUCAUUUACUGUGAAAAAAUUAGAGUGUUCAAAGCAGGCUUUCGCUUGAAUACAUUAGCAUGGAAUAAUAAGAUAGGACUUUGGUGCUAUUUUGUUGGUUGAGCUUAAAGUAAUGAUUAAUAGGGAUAGUUGGGGGCACCUGUAUUGCGUUGUCAGAGGUGAAAUUCUUGGAUUUACGCAAGACAAACAGCUGCGAAAGCGUCUGCCAAGGAUGUUUUCAUUAA